rnacentral:rRNA from 1 species
AGUUAAGCGACUAAAUGCGGUGGAUCUGCCACGGCAGUCAGGGGCGAUGAAGGACGUGCUAAUCUGCGAUAUAAGCGUCGGUAAGGUGAUAUGAACUAUAACCGCUGAUUUCCAGAUACUAAGAGCGGGCGACCGACACUAUAAUAAUUAAUGAAUCCAUAGGUUGUAGAGGCGAACGGAGAACUGAGCAUCUAAGUGCACCCGAGGGAAGAAUCAACCAGAUUCCCCAGUAGCGGCAGGCGAAGACGAGAACAGCCAAACCCUGAAUCGGUAUUGUGUUAGUGGGAAGCGUCUGGAAGGCGGCCCUUGCGCGAUACAGUGACAGCCCGUACACCGUCUACUUAGCGGAAAAUGGAAAUGAGUGAACGGGACACGUGGUAUCUAUCUGAAUAUGGGGGCCAUCACUCCAGGCUAAAUGCCACUCACGGCUGACCGAUAGUGAACCAGUACCAAGUGAGAAGAAGGCAGAACCACAAGCAGGGUGAAAAGAACCACAGACCGUGUACACGUACAAACGGUGGGACGCUUAGGCGAUGAACUGCGCUGCAAUAUAAUGGGUCAGCGGAAAAGCAUAUUCUGUAGCAGGUUAGCGAAUAGGGAGCCGGGGAAACCAGGUCUUAACUGGGCGUUAAGUUGCAGGGUAUGGAGCCAGAGCCGUGAUCUAGCCAUGGGCAGGUUGAAGGUUAGGUAACGCUGGAGGACCGAACCGUGUAAAUGUUGAAAAUUAGCGGAUGACUUGUGGCGCACAAGGGUGAAGAAAUCAGGCGGAGAUAGCUGGUUCUCUGAGAAGCUAUUUAAGGUGGCGCCUCGUGAAUUCAUCUCCGAGGGGUAGAGCACUGUUUCCCGGCAAGGGGUCAUCCCGACUUAAACCGAUACAGGCACCACGGUACCGGAGAAUGUUAUCACGGGAGGCUUUGGCAGGUGCUAACGCCGUCAAAUCGUGAAGAGCGGCCCAGACCGCCAGCUAAGGUCCCAAAGUCGCUAGUUAGAGGAAACGAUGUGGGAAGGCCAGACAGCCGGGGAUGUUGAAAGCAGAGCAGCCAUCAUUUUCAAAGAAAAUGUAAGCUCACUGGUCGGAGUCGGCCUGCGCGGAAGAUGUAGCAGGAAUAAACCAUACGAAGCUGCAGCAGCGACGCUUAUGCACGUUGUGGGUAGGGAGGCGUUCCUGUAGAAGCCUGUAGAGGUGUGCUGUAAGGAGCGUACUGGAGGUAUCAGGAAGUGCAGUGCUGCUGACGCAAGAAAGUAACGAUAGAAGCGGGUGAAAGCUUGCUCGCCGGAAGACCAAGGGUUUGCCACCACCAGCGUUAAUCAGGGCAGGGUGGAGUCGACUAAGGGCGGGAAUGACCAGGCGUAGUCGAUGGGGAAACAGGUUAAUAUUCCUGUGCCGGGUAUUUGCCUGCACCGGGGACGGCCCGGAGAGGCUAUGUUGGCGGGCGACAAUAGUUGUCGGUUUUAAGCCGUGUAGGCUGGUUUCGAACAGAUCCAGCGGAAAAUCAAGGCUGGGGCGUGAUGACGAGGGCACUACGGUGCUGAAGCAACGGUACCCUGCUUCCGGGAAAAGCCUCAAGCAUCAGGGUAACAUCAAAUCGUACUAAAACCGACACAGGUGGUCAGGUAGAGAAUGCAAAGGCGCUUGAGAGGAACUCGGGUGGUGCGUAGCCUGGGAGACGCGCUGAUAUGUAAGGUGAAGAGUCCCUCGCGGAUUGGGCCAGGAAAAUCGAUCGAAGAUACCAGCUGGCUGCAGCUGUUUGUAAAACUACGGCACUGUACCAAACACGAAAGUGGACGUAUACGGUGUAUGACGCCUGCCCCAGUGCCGGAAGGUUAAUUGAUGGGGUUAGCCGCAAGGCGAAGCGUGAUCAAACCAUUGAAACUGGCGGCCGUAACUAUAACGAUUCAUUGUGAAUUCCCUUGUCGGGUAAAGUUCAAACCUGCACGAAUAGCGUAAUGAUGCGGCGGGCUGUCCACGAGACUCGGUGAAAUUGAACUCGCUGUGAAGUGCAGUGUACCCGCGGCAAGAGACGAAGAGACCCGAACCUUUACUGAAAACGACACACUGAACAUUGAGCCAGUGGCCAGCAGGAUAGGUGGGAGGCUUUGAAGUGGACCCUUGAUCUGCAGCAGGGCCGAAAUCUACCUUUAAUGUUUGGUAUGCAACGUUGACCCGUAAUCCGGGUUACCGGACAGUGUCUGGUGGUGGAUUUGACUGGGGCAGUCUCCUCCUAAAGAAGUGGCAGGCACGAAGGUUAGCUGAAAUCGGUCCAUCGGGAGGAGUUAGUUACAAUGGCAUAAGCCAUGAAACGACUGCGAGCGUGACAGCGCGAGCAGGCCGCAGCAAGGUCAUAAGUGAUCGGUGGUUCUGAAUGGAAGGGCCAUCGCUCAACGGAUAAAGGUACUCCAGGAUAACAGGCUGAUACCGCCAAGGUUCAUAUCGGUGACAGCUUGUUGGCACCUCCUGAUGCUCCAGCUCAUCCAUCAGGGCUGGAAGUGGAGUCCCAAAGGAAUUUGCCAAGCUGUUCGCCAUUUAAAGUGGUACGCAGGCUGGGUUUGAACGAUAGGCGGAAUUGGUUCGGAUAUCUGCCGUGGGCGCUGGAGAACCAGGGGGCUGCUCCUAAUUGCAGGUUCGGUGGACAUAUCCCGCACAAUUAUUCAGGACAUGCAUGCCCGGCGCAAACCUUCGUCUGGAAGAGAUAAGAAGUUAACGGCAUCAUGCAAGAAACUUGCCCCGGAUGGGUUCUCCCUGACUCCUUGAGAGUCCACGAAGGGAACGUUGAAGACGACGACGUUGAUAGGCGGUGUGUAAAGCGCAGCGGUACAUUGCGACUAACCAGUUACCUAAUAGACCCGUGAGAACUUUAACCUUACAACGCCGAAGGUGUU